rnacentral:rRNA from 1 species
AGGGUGCGAGCGUUGUCCGGAAUUACUGGGCGUAAAGAGCUCGUAGGCGGUUUGUCACGUCGUCUGUGAAAUCCUAGGGCUUAACCCUGGACGUGCAGGCGAUACGGGCUGACUUGAGUACUACAGGGGAGACUGGAAUUUCUGGUGUAGCGGUGGAAUGCACAGAUAUCAGGAAGAACACCGAUGGCGAAGGCAGGUUACUGGGCAGUUACUGACGCUGAGGAGCGAAAGCAUGGGUAGCGAACAGGAUUAGAUACCCUGGUAGUCCAUGCCGUAAACGGUGGGCGCUAGGUGUGAGGGUCUUUCUACGACUUUCGUGCCGUAGCUAACGCAUUAAGCGCCCCGCCUGGGGAGUACGGCCGCAAGGCUAAAACUCAAAGGAAUUGACGGGGGCCCGCACAAGCGGCGGAGCAUGUGGAUUAAUUCGAUGCAACGCGAAGAACCUUACCUGGGCUUGACAUAUAGAGGAUCGCUACAGAGAUGUGGUUUCCCUUGUGGCUUCUAUACAGGUGGUGCAUGGUUGUCGUCAGCUCGUGUCGUGAGAUGUUGGGUUAAGUCCCGCAACGAGCGCAACCCUUGUCUUAUGUUGCCAGCACGUUAUGGUGGGGACUCGUGAGAGACUGCCGGGGUCAACUCGGAGGAAGGUGGGGAUGACGUCAAAUCAUCAUGCCCCUUAUGUCCAGGGCUUCACACAUGCUACAAUGGCCGGUACAGAGGGCUGCGAUGCCGUGAGGCGGAGCGAAUCUCUUAAAGCCGGUCUCAGUUCGGAUUGGGGUCUGCAACUCGACCCCAUGAAGUCGGAGUCGCUAGUAAUCGCAGAUCAGCAACGCUGCGGUGAAUACGUUCCCGGGGCUUGUACACACCGCCCGUCAAGUCAUGAAAGUUGGUAACACCCGAAGCCGGUGGCCUAACCGUUGUGGGGGAGCCGUCGAAGGUGGGACUGGUGAUUAGGACUAAGUCGUAACAAGGUAGCCGUACCGGAAGGUGCGGCUG